GACGAACGCUGGCGGUGUGCUUAACACAUGCAAGUCGAACGGUAAGGCCCUUUCGGGGGUACCCGAGUGGCGAACGGGUGAGUAACACGUGAGUAACCUGCCCUCAUCUCUGGGAUAACAGUCGGAAACGGUUGCUAAUACUGGAUAUGAGCUUGCAAGGCAUCUUGUGGGUUGGAAAGAUUUUUUUUGGUUGGGGAUGGACUCGCGGCCUAUCAGCUUGUUGGUGAGGUAGUGGCUCACCAAGGCUUCGACGGGUAGCCGGCCUGAGAGGGCGACCGGCCACAUUGGGACUGAGAUACGGCCCAAACUCCUACGGGAGGCAGCAAUGGGGAAUAUUGCACAAUGGACGGAAGUCUGAUGCAGCAACGCCGCGUGCGGGAUGACGGCCUUCGGGUUGUAAACCGCUUUCAAUUGUGACGAAGCUUUUUUGUGACGGUAGCAGUAGAAGAAGCACCGGCUAACUACGUG
rnacentral:rRNA from 1 species